ACAUUAUAUGCUACUGGAGCCUUGAAUACUGUCCUAUCAAAGGAUCAUCAAUAUGAGAUAUGCAGAUAUCUGUACAAUCAUCAGGCAAGCAAUGUGCACUGUGUCAACCUUUUGUCGAUAUUUGAUCCUGAUAGGUGCUUGGAGCAUAUGAAUGGUCAGGGAAUAAUCCACUGCCUCUAGAAACUAGAAAAAAGCUAUAUUUGAGAAAUUGGGACCAAUAAUUGAUGCUGUUGGUGCUUCAGGAGUCAACAUACUAUGUUGCAGGAAGCAUGGAUGAUGCCAUUUGCCUU